AACGAACGCUGGCGGCGUGCCUAACACAUGCAAGUCGAGCGCGAACGUAGACUUCGGUCUGCUAGUAGAGCGGCGGACGGGUGAGUAACACGUGGGUAACCUGCCCUCGAGUGGGGAAUAACCCAGGGAAACUUGGGCUAAUACCGCAUGAAGUCACCGGCUCUCUGGAGCUGAUGAUGAAAGGUGGGGAUCGAGAGACCUACCGCUCGAGGAGGGGCCCGCGCCUGAUUAGCUUGUUGGUGGGGUAACGGCCUACCAAGGCUGCGAUCAGUAGCCGGCCUGAGAGGGCGAUCGGCCACACUGGAACUGAGACACGGUCCAGACUCCUACGGGAGGCAGCAGUGAGGAAUCUUGCGCAAUGGGCGAAAGCCUGACGCAGCAACGCCGCGUGGGUGAUGAAGGCCUUCGGGUCGUAAAACCCUGUCGGGUGGGAAGAAAUGGCGAUCGGCGAAUACCCGAUCGUCUUGACUGUACCAUCAAAGGAAGCCCCGGCUAACUCCGUGCCAGCAGCCGCGGUAAUACGGGGGGGGCAAGCGUUGUUCGGAUUUACUGGGCGUAAAGGGCUCGUACGCGGCCGGUCUAGCAUUUUGUGAAAUCCCUCGGCUCAACCGAGGAAUUGCGAGGUGAACUGGCCGGCUUGAGCUGCAGAUGGGUGACUGGAACUCUAGUGGAGUGGUGAAAUACGUAGAUAUCUAGAGGAACGCCGUGGUGAAAACGCGUCACUGGCUGCUGCUGACGCUGAGUGCGAAGCGUGGGGAGCGAACGGGAUUAGAUACCCCGGUAGUCACGCGUAAACGAUGGGCACUAGGUUCGGGGGAGUUUGACCUUUUCCGGGCCGAAGCAAAAGUACUAAGUGCCCCGCCUGGGGAGUACGGUCGCAAGGCUAAAACUCAAAGGAAUUGACGGGGGCUCACACAAGCGGUGGAGCAUGUGGCUCAAUUCGAGGCAACGCGAAGAACCUUAUCCUGGGUUUGACAUGGUUGGAUGCCCUCGUCGAAAGGCGAGUAAGCUGCCUUCGGGUGAAACUUCGAUAGGUGCUGCAUGGCUGUCGUCAGCUCGUGCUGUGAAGUGUUGGGUUAAGUCCCCUAACGAGCGAAACCCUUGUCUCUAGUUACCAGCGAGUAAUGUCGGGGACUCUAGAGAGACUGCCGGUGUUAAACCGGAGGAAGGUGGGGAUGACGUCAAGUCCUCAUGGCCUUUAUGCCCAGGGCUGCACACGUGCUACAAUGGUCGGUAUAGAACGAAGCAAUACCGCGAGGUGGAGCAAAUCGGAAAAAGCCGGCCCCAGUUCGGAUUGCAGGCUGCAAUUCGCCUGCAUGAAGUUGGAAUCGCUAGUAAUCGCAGAUCAGCUAUGCUGCGGUGAAUAUGUUCCUGAGCCUUGUACACACCGCCCGUCAAGUCAUGGAAGCUGGCAGCGCCCGAAGUCCCGACAAUUCGGUCGGGCCGAUGGUAAGCUUGGUAACCGGGACU
rnacentral:rRNA from 1 species